UGCUUACCAUGCAGUCGAACGGAAAGGCCCACCACCUUGGUGGUGGGUACUCGAGUGGCGAACGGGUGAGUAACACGUGGGUGAUCUGCCCCGCACUGUGGGAUAAGCCUGGGAAACUGGGUCUAAUACCACAUACGACCAUGGCGUAGGGGUCAUGGUGGAAAGCCUUGUGCGGUGUGGGAUGAGCCCGCGGCCUAUCAGCUUGUUGGUGGGGUAAUGGCCUACCAAGGCGGCGACGGGUAGCCGGCCUGAGAGGGUGGACGGCCACAUUGGGACUGAGACACGGCCCAGACUCCUACGGGAGGCAGCAGUGGGGAAUAUUGCACAAUGGGCGCAAGCCUGAUGCAGCGACGCCGCGUGGGGGAUGGAAGGCCUUCGGGUUGUAAACUCCUUUCGCCCGGGACGAAGCCCACCUGGUGGGUGACGGUACCGUGGAGAAGAAGCACCGGCUAACUACGUGCCAGCAGCCGCGGUAAUACGUAGGGUGCAAGCGUUGUCCGGAUUUACUGGGCGUAAAGAGCUCGUAAGUGGUGUGUCGCGUCGUCUGUGAAAUUCCGGGGCUUAACUCCGGGCGUGCAGGCGAUACGGGCACGACUAGAGUGCUGUAGGGGUAACUGGAAUUCCUGGUGUAGCGGUGAAAUGCGCAGAUAUCAGGAGGAACACCGAUGGCGAAGGCAGGUUACUGGGCAGUUACUGACGCUGAAGAGCGAAAGCAUGGGGAGCGAACAGGAUUAGAUACCCUGGUAGUCCAUGCUGUAAACGGUGGGCGCUAGGUGUGGGCUGUGUGUUUGCAGUCUGUGCCGUAGCUAACGCAUUAAGCGCCCCGCCUGGGGAGUACGGCCGCAAGGCUAAAACUCAAAGGAAUUGACGGGGCCCGCACAAGCGGCGGAGCAUGUGGAUUAAUUCGAUGCAACGCGAGAACCUUACCUGGGUUUGACAUGCACCAGAUCGGCGUAGAGAUACGUCCUCCCUUGUGGUUGUGCACAGUGGUGCAUGGUUGU
rnacentral:rRNA from 1 species